GCCCGGCUAGCUCAAUCGGUAGAGCGUGAGACUCUUAAGGUCUCUGUGAUUUGACAUCUUAAGGUUGUGGGUUCGACCCCCACGUCGGGCU